rnacentral:rRNA from 5 species
AACGACUCUCGGCAACGGAUAUCUCGGCCCUUGCAUCGAUGAAGAACGUAGCGAAAUGCGAUACUUGGUGUGAAUUGCAGAAUCCCGCGAACCAUCAAUUCUUUGAACGCAAGUUGCGCCCGAGGCCAUCCGGCCGAGGGCACGCCUGCCUGGGUGUCGUGA